CCUACGGGUGGCAGCCGUGGGGAAUAUUGGGCAAUGGAGGAAACUCUGACCCAGCAACGCCGCGUGAAUGAUGAAGGUCUUCGGAUUGUACACCACUGUCCCCAGGGACGAAGCUGACGGUACCUGGUGAGGCAGCUCCGGCUAACUACGUGCCAGCAGCCGCGGUAAUACGUAGGGAGCGAGCGUUGUCCGGAGUUACUGGGUGUAAAGGGGGCGUAGGCGGGACUGCAAGUUGGGUGUCAAAUCUACCGGCUCAACCGGUAGCCGCACUCAGAACUGCAGUUCUUGAGUGAAGUAGAGGCAGGCGGAAUUCCUAGUGUAGCGGGGAAAUGCGUAGAUAGUAGGAGGAAAACCAGGGGAGAAGGCGGCCUGCUGGGCUUUUACUGACGCUGAGGCUCGAAAGUGGGGGGAGCAAACAGGAUUAGAUACCCUGGUAGUA
rnacentral:rRNA from 1 species